UACGUAGGGGGCUAGCGUUGUCCGGAAUCAUUGGGCGUAAAGAGCGUGUAGGCGGCCCGGUAAGUCCGCUGUGAAAGUCAAAGGCUCAACCUUUGAAUGUCAGCGGAUACUGCCGGGCUAGAGUCCGGAAGAGGCGAGUGGAACUCCUGGUGUAGCGGUGGAAUGCGCAGAUGUCAGGAAGAACACCAACGGCGAAGGCAGCUCGCUGGGACGGUACUGACGCUGAGACGCGAAAGCGUGGGGAG
rnacentral:rRNA from 1 species